rnacentral:rRNA from 1 species
CGCGUAGGCGGGUUCUCAAGUCCGGAGUGAAAGCCCGCGGCUCAACCGCGGAAGCGCUUUGGAUACUGGGGACCUCGAGGGAGGUAGGGGCGUGCGGAACUUCCGGUGGAGCGGUGAAAUGCGUAGAUAUCGGAAGGAACACCGGUGGCGAAAGCGGCGCGCUGGACCUCUUCUGACGCUGAGGCGCGAAAGCCAGGGGAGCAAAACGG